rnacentral:rRNA from 1 species
UGGGGGCACCCUGAUCCAGCCAUGCCGCGUGUGUGAAGAAGGCCCUCGGGUUGUAAAGCACUUUCAGCGAGGAAGAACGCCUAGCGGUUAAUACCCGCUAGGAAAGACAUCACUCGCAGAAGAAGCACCGGCUAACUCCGUGCCAGCAGCCGCGGUAAUACGGAGGGUGCAAGCGUUAAUCGGAAUUACUGGGCGUAAAGCGCGCGUAGGUGGCUUGAUAAGCCGGUUGUGAAAGCCCCGGGCUCAACCUGGGAACGGCAUCCGGAACUGUCAAGCUAGAGUGCAGGAGAGGAAGGUAGAAUUCCCGGUGUAGCGGUGAAAUGCGUAGAGAUCGGGAGGAAUACCAGUGGCGAAGGCGGCCUUCUGGACUGACACUGACACUGAGGUGCGAAAGCGUGGGUAGCAAACAGGAUUAGAUACCCUGGUAGUCCACGCCGUAAACGAUGUCGACCAGCCGUUGGGUGCCUAGCGCACUUUGUGGCGAAGUUAACGCGAUAAGUCGACCGCCUGGGGAGUACGGCCGCAAGGUUAAAACUCAAAUGAAUUGACGGGGGCCCGCACAAGCGGUGGAGCAUGUGGUUUAAUUCGAUGCAACGCGAAGAACCUUACCUACUCUUGACAUCCUGCGAAUUUGGUAGAGAUACCUUAGUGCCUUCGGGAACGCAGAGACAGGUGCUGCAUGGCUGUCGUCAGCUCGUGUUGUGAAAUGUUGGGUUAAGUCCCCGUAACGAGCGCAACCCUUGUCCUUAUUUGCCAGCGCGUAAUGGCGGGAACUUCUAAGGAGACUGCCGGUGACAACCGGAGGAAGGUGGGGACGACGUCAAGUCUUCAUGGUCCUUA